GUCCGACAGCUUCUCUUUCUUCUCUGUCAGUAACUUACGCCAGCUCUCUGGCUACAAUCUGCCGCACAGAGGUACGGUAAUUCCACAUACUUUAGCAAUCUUCCUCACUUUCUUAACCAUCUCUUCUCCUUCUCUGUCUUCCACUAGAUCACAUGCUAACCAACCCUUACUGGGUUUAUCUAACUUCUGUCCCAUCCUCCCUAUAUAAGGCGUCCCAGAUAUAGAGAUAGAGAGAAAAGAAGGUCUA